UGGGAGCCCAAGGUGGGAGGAUUGCUUGAGGCCAAGGGUUCAAGUACAGCCUGGGCAACAUAGAGGGACACCAUCUCUAAAAAAUAAAUGCAAAAAUUCGCUGGGCGUGAUGGUGUGCACCUGUAGUUACAGCUACUUGGGAAGCUGAGGUGGGAGGAUCACUAGAACCCAGGAUUUCAAGGUUUCAGUGAGCUAUGAUUUGUGCCACUGCACUCCAGCCUGGGUGACAGAGCCAGACCCUGUCUCUAAAAAAUAAAAACAAUAAAUAAAAUUAUAAUUUUUUUAAAAAAGAAGAUAUCUCACAAGAUUGGGCUGCCAGAUGGUGCUGAUACUGCUGAUCUGAGGUGACGCUCACUCACAUCAGACACAGGACAAUGUCAGGGCUGUGGGCUACCAACAAUUCAACACCAGCUCUUGACUUUGGACCUGUGCAAGAGUUGGCCCAUCCACAUGCCUAUGCCCCUGUGUUGGUUCUCGCCCAGUCGUGUUCUGACCAUGUUGCUGCCUUCCAUCUGUGACAUCUGAGGGCAGCAGGAAAUUUUGCUCUGUACCCCAUAGUUUGGACACCCAGAGCACUCACCAUGCCUCCUCUACAGGCUCUGCUCCCUUUCAGGCAGUCCUCCAGAGUUGGCUGCACCUAUCUUCUCCAAGGGUUUUCAAGACUGUUGUUCCACAAAGCCAAUGGCCUAUUGGGUCAACGUCCUUCCUUCCCAUCAAUGGAUGUGCUGAUAUCGUGUUCUCUCAGUGGGAGAUAUGAAAUUAACCAGGAAUGGUGAAUUUCACAAUAAAAAACACGAAGGGAUGCUUCCUAGACCUACAAAGGGGGAGACAGUGCACGGAUACCACAAACUUCACGUGCACUGAUAGGACAAUAAACAAAUGCGUAAGUACCUCUUCUCUACACAUUAUUCUAAAUCUUUACUGAUAAAUCACUAUGCCUUAGAUGGACCUUUGAAUUUUCUAAUAAAUGUAUCAUCUAAUGGUCUACAUAGACAGGGGCCCUGCAAAAAAUAUUUGUGCAGGGCUCCCACACCCUAAGAGUGAUCAUGCUGUAUCUGUUUCCCCAUUGGUAAUGAAAAAUUUGACUGGUUCUCCUUCAGAAUUCCUUCCACCUCUAAUAUUCUGCUUCUUUCCCUAAGGAAUGCAAAGCACCUUUCAUCUAGACCUAGAACAAACUUCAGCCCAAAGAAGUUGAGUGUUUUUAUUUGUUUUAAAGUAAAUUCUCCCUUCACUUAUUCACUCAGAGCCUCUUGCUCCAUUCAGAGAGGACUUCACUGCUCCAUGCUCAGACCAAGAGCAUCCUUCUUGGGACAUCUCCCACCUAGACUCUCAUGACAGGUAUAUAGCCCAGGUUGAGUGUAGGUUGGGUUAAAAUACCAGGCUCACAUCUUCAUGUCUUCAUACAAAGACACUCAGCCAGGAGGCCUUGCAGGUAAAUUCUGACCAGUCCUCUUAUGAUUGCCGAACAGAGUCACAUUGCCUAAACCUGACCUUAAGGCAGUGUAACUGCUGCUGCAAGUAUUUCUAUACAUAAUACUUUGACCCAUCUCUGGCCCACACACUUGUGCAUGGAUGGAUAUGUAGUGAAAGAACUGUUGGCCUGGGAGUCAGGUCCUCCAAUACCAGCCCUCCUCCUAGUUAGCUCUGUGAAACUAGGAAAGCUCCUUUUCUCUCUGGACUCAGUUUCUUCAUCUAUAACAUGUAUGAGGUGGACUAAGACACUAAAGAUGCUUUCAGCCCUUACAUGCUGCAUUUUCUUUUAAUAUGUAAAAGAAAUUUGCAAGUAAAGUGGAAAGAAUAAUGUAGCACCACUUAUACCCCUACUGCUCAGGGUGAAUGUAUAUGUGUGUAUGUGUGUACACUUUUAACUUGUAUAGGUAAUAUAUUCUCCUUUUUAGUAAAUGAAGAAAUCAAAUCAAGCAUCAACACCUAGGAGACUCUAAGCAGGAUACACUGGCACCUGGCAAGAUACAGUCAUCAACACCUAGAAGGACACGUGGGUCAGGAGUUCCUAAAUGACAGCCCUUGAUCCUGAUUGGUUCACAGGAAUGAUUGGUUUGACCAACAACGAUUUUUAAAGGAUGAAUAUUGAUGCCUUUCAAUGGAGCAUGUCUAUGGGGCCUGGUUCCAUUAGAGCACCCCUCUCCCCAACUUCCUAUUCACCGCAUCACUCACAUUUACAUAUCCCACGAGACCAUCAAAGGCAUUUGAUUUUGUGAAUAUAAAUUUAUUAUGCCUGCCUGAGAACAGAAGUAAUAAGAAUGUUUUCUACCUUUUCAUUUUACCUCCACUAUAGCUCCCAAGAGAUGUUACAUGGACAAGAAGGGCACAAAGAAGUUUAUACUUCCUGCUCUAGAUUAAUUGUAUCCCGAUACAACACAGGAAGGACAUGGGCUUGAAAUGAACAGACUUGGGCCCAGAUUCUAGCUCCAUCAUUUGCUUCUUUAUCCAGAGCCUCCAAUUCAUUUGCCUUCCAGAGUUUCUGCAGUGAUCAGCAAAACCAUCUGACACAGGGGACCACACAGCGGGAACUCAAUAAAUGCUAAUUCCUUCUCUCAUCCUGUUGCAGAGUCAGCCCAAACCUCUCUCCAAUAUCUUCUACAGGGAAAAGAUCUCUUGGGCUCACCCAGGCUGGGCUGUGGUGUGCAAUUCUUCAUUAAGAGAUAUGAAGAGCCCAGAAAUGGAAAAGCUGGAAUAAAGGAAUGCAGAGUGGGGCUGCCUGUUUUGUUCCUUUUGCAAACACACACAAACAUGAUGAUGGGGAGCAGCACCAGGGACAUGUCAAAGAUGACAGCAGCACUGGUCAGGUGCAAAUUGCCCUUCGAAAAAUGCCUAAGGCAGCACAGCUUUUGGCAGUCUUUUUUUUUUUUCUUUUCUAAUCAAGGCAAAGAUUUCUCUAAAAAAGCACAUAGUAAAGGAAGCCAAAGGAAUGUUAGUGCCUGUCUCUAGAAGCCACAUUUAUCUAUUUUUAGUCCCCAGCAAAGCCCAGUACACUGUAAUCAGUAUAAUAACAUGCUGUCUUUCAUAAAGACAGAUGACACAGUUGACCUUCAGUCCCCAUCUGGACACAGGACGUGUGCUGUGGGUUGUUUUGUCAGCUGUGGGCUUGGAUUAUUUGUCUGUACCCUCUCAUCUAGUUUGGAUCAGAACCAGGCAUUUUCAGGAAGACUAGAAAAUAUGAGUGUGGGGUCAACUGGACCUCUGAAAAAAGAAUUGGUAGAUGUGAAGUCUGAAGGCAUCAUGGGUGGAAUUAGUAUGGAAUUUUGCUCAAGUUACUUACUUCUGUAAAGACCUACUGGCCCCUUAUACUUUGUGGAAUAAAAUCUUCACCUUGAUCUUUUUCACCCAAGUUGGUAACUCAAUGCAGUCUUCCUGCUGGACCACUUCCUCAAUCUUGGGACAUCAAAUAUAUACUCUCAACCUCCUUGAACACAAUAAAACUUAACUUUCUCCAGGUAGGAAGCCAUGAACACUGCAUAUUGCACAUGGGACCUAAAGACAUGGGAGGAAGAAACAGCAUCAGGUUGUCUCACGUGGUGAAGCUUUCAGAAUACCCUCCCUUACAGGCAGCACUGUCCAUCCACUUGGAACCUUCUCUUCCUACUCUCCACAGCAAUCUUAACCAUCUCUCUGGCUUCAGGCUGCUCUUCUUCCAACUAGACUGGGUUCAUCCCACUAGAUGACCCAGGCUUUUCAAUAUUGCAUGUAAAUGUUAUGGCUCUUUCAGUCCCUGCCUACUCCUGAGUCAUUGGUCUCCAAAUCUCAAUGUCAUUCUGCUAGUCCUGGGAAAAGUACAAAGAAAUCUCUUACCAAGCCUCAUUUUCCUCACUUGUAAUGUACAGAUGACUUCUUAGUUCCCUUCCAGUUUGAAAUCCUAGUCCCAAGAAUGGCUUUUCCAACUGUGAGCAACCUGAUACAAGCCUAUCAUCAUUGGAUAUAAUUGGGCUAUAUACAUACAGGUAGAAACAGGUAUAACUAUACACAGAAGACUCAUCUUUUAUACAUGCCAUCACAACCUACAAUUGUAUGUAAAGACCUUAGUCAUUUACAUUGUAGCAUUCAACCUUCACAAUAAAGUUAAUAAAGGCAAGGGCAGGUGUUGCCACUCAAAUUCAGAUCUUCUGACUUUAGGGCCAGGGCUCUCUAUGUGACCCCACACUGUAUCCCUGGUAAGCAGAGGCACUGGGAGCUUAUACGCCUCAGAGAGAGUGGGUAAUGGAGUAUUCUCCCCUCUGAGUCCUCUGAGCUGGUAUAAUGCUAUAGUUAAGAUCAGGCCCUGCAUCAGACUGAGCUAAAUUUGAAUCUUAUAAUUUAGUAGCUGUGUACUGUUGAGCAAGCUAUUCAACUUCUCUGAACCUCAAGUUAGCAUUCUGUAAAAUGAGGGAAUUAAUAAUAUCACAAUGGAGUUAUGAGGAUUUAAUGAGGUAGUUCAUGGAAGUGCUUAACACAGAUCUAGCACAUAGUGCCCCCAAAAUAAUAGUAUUAUUUAGAUUAAUAUUGUAUAUUAACUUGCAUUGAUUCCCAAAGUAUUUCCUGCCCUGUCUGUUCAGAAUCAUUUUAAUUUUUAAAAUCCAGGAGCAAUACACUACUCCUAGUGGAGAACUUGAAUCCAAGGUGAGAUUAGAUGAGCAGGUUCAGAAAGGAUGUUCAAGAAACUUGAUGGAAGAAAAGGUACCACUUGUAGAACUCUGUGGUCUUUCAGAUUGUUGUAAUGCCAGUGAUUCAUUAUAGCCAACACAGAGCAAAUCAUUUGUUAAUAAACAGAGCAUCUCACAAGGAAUGCUAACAGGUCUCUUUAAAGGAGCACCAAUCCCAUAAAAAGCCAAAAGUAAGAAUAAAUAAUAGCAAGAAGCUUGACAUUCAAUGCAGGACAUAUUUCCUGCAUGGGGCCUGCUCGGAACACUUAAAGGUCCAUCUGGAAACAGCAUCAUGCAGAAGCGAGGUCUGCAGCCAGGUCAAGCCAAGCCACCUUUCAUGCUGAGACCCCGACUCUUCUGAAGUUACAAAGUUCAAGGUGAAUCCUCUUCCACAUCCCAGAUAACCAGCUGCCACUCAGGCAUUCCUGAUAAAAGUUCAUCCAGGCUUAGAGUGAAUGAAGUAUUAGGGAGAUAACGAAAAAGUACCCAGGGUCAAAUACAAUGGAAUCCACUUCUCAAACCAGCCCACGACUGUUGAGUGUGCAGCUCCUAUAUUCUCUAGGAAUCCUCUCUCAGAUACAUCUGGUACUUCUAAAUCGGUUUCAUCUUUUAGAUGUAUAUGGAAGAGUGGAGGUUUAAGUAUCUUGGGAGGAAAUCUAAGGAGAUACAGAAUAGAACAAAGUGAAGUGCUGUGAUCCAAAACUGGGGAUCCCUGGGUUCUGCCUCUGCCUGUGGCUUGUGCGCUAUCUAUGACCCAUGGCUCGCAGUUCUGAUGGAGGCUGACCCUCCACCUGUGAAUAUGCUCAGUGGAAAUGAAAGCUUCCAAGUUGGGGAGGGCAAGAAGACUCUUAAGCCUUUCAUACCCUGAGGUUCUAUUUCCCUUCCUUUCUCUGGUCCUCAGUUUCUUAAUCUGUAAAGCAUGGAGCCUAAGCAGGCCUCUCUAGACCAUACAUGAUAUGCUACAGGUCUUCUUGAAUCCAAGGGGUCAUCAGACAUCCUCUUUCUUCAGCCUAGCUCUGGCCUUAAGCCAAUUCCUGCCCACCUUUUAAAAAAUGUGCCUGUGUCACUGACUACCCCGAUGUUCAGCUCUGGAGUUGGAAGUAGGAUCUGAUCAUAGCAUCCUCAGUGGAAGGCAUUUACCACAUGACAUAUAGAUUAACUCUGGGAAGACAUGCUUAGCACCAAUGGCACAUUUAGUCUUUCCUGGGCAGAACCUGACAAAUCUAACCAUUUCUGAAGCAGGGCCUUAUACUCAGGGCGACCCACUGGUUUAUCAUCCAAAUAGGGAUACUUCUGAGAGUGACAAGGGUCACUAACGGCUAUUAAUUAAUUAAUAUUAAUUAAAUGACUAAGGGGUAUUAAUAAAUACACCUGAACCACAGGACUGUCCCAGGUAUCCUAGGACUUAAGGUCAUCAUACUUAAACGUAUUUAUGGAGGAGAGCCUGUGAUAAUUUCAUCAUUAGCCCAAGACAAGAACAGAUGCCCCAGUGUGGACAUGCAUGGGGUCAGAUUUGGUUAUCACAUAGGCCUGAGGACACUGCUGGCAUUGAGCUGGUGGGCAUCAGGGAUGCUAAAUGUCCUGCAAUGUACAAAAUAAUCCCACACAACAGAGAAUUAUCUGGCUCAAAAUGGCCAAAAUUUCCCUACUGAAAAAUACUGAUAUGGUGGGAUAAGAAUAAUUGUAAACAAUGAUAUAAAACGCAGGAUGACAACUUCAAAUGCCUUCAGGGCCAGUCAGGAAUUGGAAGAUCUAUGCCCCUUCUUAAGGAGUUUAAAUUUAAGUCUUUAAAACAAUGCCAAACAAUUUCCAUCCAUAUGCACUAAAUUUGGCUUUUGGCCUCCAGAUUGUGGACUUCUAAUAGACAUUUACUGAUCAGAAAUUAUGUCUAUGUUAUAUUAAGUAAAAACGAAAAGCUACAGCGUAAUCCCAUUAUAUGCGUGUGUGUGUGUGUGUGUGUGUGUGUAUGCAUUCUCUCUUCAUACAUAUAUAAGGAGGGAGAAGAUUCCUAUAUGUAUGUAUGUCAGUCCAUACAUGUAUGUACAUAUGUGUAUGUACACCAAAAUUCUGGAAGAAUAUAGAAUGAAAUUUAGAGUGACAAAGAGAGUAGAUGACCUGAAGUAUAGGUAUUUUCCCCUUUAAAGUUUUCCAUAGCCAUGGACAAAUAUGAACAUUUUUAGCAGCUAUUGGCAACUACUUAUGAUGAAGGCCCCCUGGGAAUAGUCUAUGAAAAGAAACAGCAGCCACAACUCUAGGGUCUGUGCCUGUGAUUGUCAUCACAUCCCAAAUGAUUUUUCCUAACCCUCAAUCAGACUUCUGAUGGGCAUAAAUCCACACCCCUGGGCUCAGCCUGUUGACCCACAGGAAUUAGAGCAAUGUUGAAGGGUGGGGUGCAUACUGGUGGGGAAUGGGAGGGAACUGGUUGCAAAGGAGCAAACCAUUCUCCACUCGCAUGUUAUACUGUGAGGAAAACACGUGCCCAGGCCACCAAGGCAAUCAUUUCUGGGCUCGAAAACAGGAAGAAAUUCACUAAACACUAUGUCGCCAACACAAAGAGUGGAGAAGAUUUGCCAAGAGUGCAGUCCUGUCUUGACCGGGACAUCAGCAUUAAAGGCAGGACCCACUGCCAAGCUCAUGAUUUCUGAAGCAAAGGGGCAGCCACUUGCCUUAGGCCUCCUCUAAUGGCUCUCAGAUAAUCUUAACUUGGGCCUGUAGAUGACAAGGGGUCACUGGGACUCUUUUCCCAUUUACGUGGGAGGAGAUGACUUUUCUAAGCCCCUCAACCUCCAUGAUUUCCCCCACUCUCAUAACAAUCCUAUAAUGAGCUGGGCCCCUUCCAUGUACUAACUCAUUUAAUCCUAACAAUAACCCUAUGAGGCAAGCAUUACUGUCCCCAUUUUACUGAUGAAGAAACAGAGACUCAGGGAGGUUAAGUCUCACAGCUAGUCAGUGUCAGGUUUCAAGUCUAGACUUGUCAGUGCCACAGCCUUUAACUUCCUGUGUUCACCCACCAUUGCACACCUUCAAGGAGCGGCAGACAGAGCUGAGGUAGGUCCUUCAUGGGCAAUGUAACCAUUGCAGCUAGCGCUACUUGAGGAAAAUGUCCAAAGACACAAGGGGCUCUGGAACUGGGCCUUUGGAGACAGGACGUGGACUGACCAUCCAAUUGAUCUGCUGUGCCACUGACCCAGAAAUCAGCCAGAAAUUUCCUCGAUAAUGUCUGAUAAAAUUAAAGAGCAACGGUAGUGAGAAUUGAAUGUGGAGAAAGUGAUCACUUUCUUUUUUCUUUUUUUUUAAAACGGAGUUUUGCUCUUGUUGCCCAGGCUGGAGUGCAGUGGCAUGAUCUCGGCUCACUGCAACCUCUGCCUUGUGAGUUCAAGCAAUUCUCCUGCCUCAGCCUCCAGAGUAGCU
rnacentral:lncRNA from 10 species